UGGCUUGCUCAGCCUGCUCUCCUAUAGAACCCAAGACUACCAGCCCAGGGAUGGUCCCACCCACAAGGGGCCCUCCCCCCUUGAUCACUAAUUGAGAAAAUGCCUUACAGUUGGAUCUCAUGGAGGCAUUUCCUCAACUGAAGCUCCUUUCUCUGUAUUGGUUGAUCCAUAGAAUAUAAUCCACUAAUACACAGUGUUGCCUAUUUUUGUCCAGUGAAAAUACAGGGCAGACUUUUGAAAAAUUGAAGUUUUGUAUUUUUGGUUUUAUAAAUAGUAUGGAGCACAACUCUUUUUUUUUUUUUUUUAAGAUUUAUUUUAUUAUUAUACAUAAGUACACGGUAGCUGACUUCAGACAGAUCAGAAGAGAGCAUCAGAUCUCAUUAAGGGUGGUUGUGAGCCACCAUGUGGUUGCUGGGAUUUGAACUCAGGACCUUCGGAAGAGCAGUCAGUGUUCUUACCCAGUGACCAUCUCUAUAGCCCCGGAACACAACUCUUAAACUUUGUUUAGACUGGGUCUCGGUGUAGCCCAGACUGUUCUGGGAACUUUCUAUGUAUCCUAAAGUGGAUGAAGUUGUGAUAAUCUAUCUGCUCAGCCUCCUAAGUGCUGAGACUAUGUGCAUAAGCUCCCCCGCCCAGCAACACUUAUAUUUAAUUAUUUUAUGUGUGUGGGCCUUUUGUCUGGGUGUAUGUCUGUGUGCCGUAUACACACUUGGUGCCUGAAGGUGUCAGAGCCCCUGGAACUGCAGUCACAGCAGUUCUGAGCCACCGUGCAGGUGCUGGGGAUAGAACCCAGGUCCUCUGGAUGAACAUUCGGAGCUUGUAGCUUCGGAGUCAUCUCUCCAAUACCAAAGUCACUCAUUUGAAAAUUUUUCUAAAAACAUUUUCUUUUUUGAGGUAUCUUUAGAGCAGUGUUGUAAGAACAGGAUUACAGUGAAUGCCCACAUGGUGGACACUCUCACUCAGGUUCAUCCAUGUUCAGUGUUCUGCCUGUCCUUAUGUGAAGGUGUGGGCAUGCCUGUCACAGCGUGUGUAUGAAGGCCAGAGGACAGCUUGUGACAGUUGCUUCUCUUUCCUCCACGGGGUCCUCAGGAGUCAACUCAGUUUGCCAGGUUUGGCAACCUUUACCUACUGAGCCAUCUUGGCAAAUCUUGAUAUAAAUGAUUCACCUUGACAGUUGGACUGUCCUUUUUAAUGCAGUGAUUAUAAUGGCUAAGUGUGAAUAAUGUGACCUGUCCAACUGAUGUCCUGAUGCUCAUAGUUACUGUACCUCCUGUCUUAAGUCAAUAACAGGUGGCUUUUGUUUAACAGAUAGUUUGAAGGCCGUAUUUUGAGUAGAUCUAUGUAUGAUUAUGUUACAGCCUUUUAGGCCCCAGUUAUCCCAUUGAUAGUCUUUCUAGUUGUUCUCACGCAAUCAGGACCCAGUUCAAGAUUAAAUAAUGCAUUUGGUGUUUUCAGGGGGCAGACCAUUUGUAUUGGAGAAUCAAUUUAGAUUAUUGCUUGCCUGGCAUGUUUAGUUUCCAAUUAAUCACCUUAGAUUAGAAGUUCUCCGCCUUCCUGAUGCCGUGACAUUAGGAAUAUAGCUCCUCAUGUUGGUGAGACCCUAACCAUUGCUACUUCAUAACUAAUGUUGCUACUGUUAUGAACUGUAACAUAAAUAUUUGAUAUGCAGGAUACCUGGUAUGUGACCCUGUGAAAGGGUUGUUGACUCCACCUUCCACCCCCAGGGGUUGUGACCCACAGGUUGAGAACCACUGCAUUAAACAAAACUGCGCUGGCAGCACUAGCUAUUCAGUAUCCCAGCAUUAGUGUUGAGCUGAAGAACAUGGGCAGCAUCUGUCAGAACUCCCCAUUGUAAGGCACUCCCGGUAAUUAGUCACUUUGAGAUCUGUCACAUAAUUAUUGAUGAUAUGAAUUAGUAAUGGAUUUUGCCUUUCAAAAAUCAUACUACAGCUAUCCAAUACGGAACUACAGAACAUUAACAGAAGACCAUCAAUGUUUAGCAAUGGGUCCCAGAGGCUGUGUUGUGUGCCUUUAAUCUUAGCAUUUGGAUGGCAGAGGCAGGCAGAUCUUUGUGAGUUUGAGGCCAGCAUGGGGUACAGAGUGAGUUUCAGGACAGCUAGGAUUAUGCAAAAAACCGUCUCAAUAAACC
rnacentral:lncRNA from 1 species